UGUUUAUUUGUUUUUGUCAAAGUCUGCAUACUUUUAUGUAGAAAAUUUGUAUUUCUUUAAACUUUUAAAUUCGUUGUUUCCACAAAAUCCAACAAAUAUUAAUGAAUCCACAGUAUGUACUCUCAUGUAAUAAACCUUACAAUUAAAACCAAAAAUAUAAGUUAAUGAGUUAAAUUCAAUCAAGGUUGUACUGUUACUCUAAAGACAAAUAUCUGCAUUGUAUAAAUAAGUACAUAU
rnacentral:lncRNA from 1 species